rnacentral:rRNA from 1 species
GAUGAACGCUGGCGGCGUGCCUAAACAUGCAAGUCAUACGGUCCACUUCGGUGGACAGUGGCAAACGGGUGAGUAACACGUGGGAACACGCCUUCGAGUGGGGAAGUAAACGCUGAGAAAUACAGUGCUAAUACCGCAUGUGGUAGCAAUACUAAAGACAGUAAUGCGCUCGGAGAGUGGCCCGCGGUCGAUUAGCUAGUUGGUGGGUAAGUGGCCUACCAAGGCUGCGAUCGAUAGCUGGUCUGAGAGGAUGGUCAGCCACACUGGGACUGCGAACGGCCCAGACU